rnacentral:rRNA from 1 species
CUCUAUGGCCAUGCCACCCUGAAAGUGCCCUAUCCUGUCUAAAAUUGGAAGCUAAGCAGAGUCAGGCCUGGUUAGUUCUUGGAUGGGAGACCACCUAGGAAGACCAGGUGCUAUAGGUG